AAAGUUUUAGUUUAAUUUAAAAUGAUCUACUUACAAUAGAUAGAUUUUUACUUUA
rnacentral:tRNA from 1 species